UCUUGCAUACCUAUAAGAGGUCUUACCUGCCCAGUGACGCAAGUUUAACGGCCGCGGUAUUUUGACCGUGCAAAGGUAGCGUAAUCAAUCGUCUUUUAAAUGGAGACCUGUAUGAAUGGUAAAACGAAAACUCAACUGUCUCAUUCUUUUAACCAAUGAAAUUGAUUUCUCCGUGCGGAAGCGGGGAUAAACACAUAAGACAAAAAGACCCUGUGGAGCUUUAGACUUCUGCUUAUAUCUUGGAUUGGGGCGAUCACGGAGAAAACACACCCUCCCUGAAGAAAUUCAUAAUUAAGAGCUACCGCUCUAAAUAUUAAAAUAUUUAACUUUAUGAACCGGUUUGCCGAUUAACGAACCCAGUUACCCCAGGGAUAACAGCGCAAUCCCCUUAAAGAGCACUUAUCACCAAGGGGGUUUACGACCUCGAUGUUGGAUCAGGACAUCCUAAUGGCGCAUCCACUAUUAAGGGUUCGUUUGUUCAACGAUUAAAGUCCU
rnacentral:rRNA from 1 species